rnacentral:rRNA from 1 species
CCUACGGGUGGCAGCAGUAGGGAAUUUUGCGCAAUGGGCGAAAGCCUGACGCAGCAACGCCGCGUGAGUGAUUAAGUCCUUCGGGGUGUAAAGAUCUGUCAGUGGGGACGAAACUUGACGGUACCCACAGAGGAAGCACCGGCGAACUCCGUGCCAGCAGCCGCGGUAAUACGGAGGGUGCAAGCGUUGUCCGGAAUCAUUGGGCGUAAAGAGUUCGUAGGUGGCAUUUUAAGUCUGGUGUUAAAUGCAGAAGCUCAACUUCUGUUCGGCACUGGAUACUGGUAGGCUUGAAUGCGGUAGGGGUAGGGGGAAUUCCUGGUGUAGCGGUGAAAUGCGUAGAUAUCAGGAGGAACAUCAGUGGCGUAGGCGCUUUACUGGGCCGUAAUUGACACUGAGGAUCAAAAGCCGGGGUAGCAAAUGGGAUUAGAUACCCUUGUAGUC